UCCUACGGGGCGCAGCAGUAGGGAAUCUUCCACAAUGGGCGAAAGCCUGAUGGAGCAACGCCGCGUGGGUGAAGAAGGUCUUCGGAUCGUAAAACCCUGUUGUUAGAGAAGAAAGUGCGUGAGAGUAACUGUCCACGUUUCGACGGUAUCUAACCAGAAAGCCACGGCUAACUACGUGCCAGCAGCCGCGGUAAUACGUAGGUGGCAAGCGUUAUCCGGAUUUAUUGGGCGUAAAGGGAACGCAGGCGGCCUUUUAAGUCUGAUGUGAAAGCCUUGGGCUUAACCGGCG
rnacentral:rRNA from 1 species